rfam:Schistosoma mattheei strain Denwood, Zambia genome assembly, scaffold: SMTD_scaffold0002171
AUCCAGCUGAAGAGUCCCAAAUAGGACGAAACGCGCGUCCUGAAU